rnacentral:lncRNA from 1 species
ACUCGCUGAUUGGCUGAGCAGGGCCGCGGACAGAGAGAAAUGCCGAGGAAUAGGGGCGCGGCCGCCCGGUUUCGGCGAUGGGUUAUAGGGUCCGCGUCAGCCCCGCGCCCGCACAGCCAACGUCACGCCGCAUUCUUAUUUCCAAAGACCCCUGGAGCUUGGGGUCCCACCCCAGCGGUCUUUCGGGGCGUCCCCUGCCCUUCACGCGCCGCGCCGGCUCGGCCCGAAGCGCCCUGCGGACCCGCAGCCUGGGCCGCCCCGAACCUGACGGCCCCGCGGGGGUCGGACGCGGGAGGAACGGCCUCGCUUUCAGAGACGCAGCGGGAGGGCGGUCCCCGCUGUCCCUCUGGCCGGGUCCUCAGCACGCGUUCUCCUCACUCCCAGGACUAGCGAGCGGCGGGCGCGGACCGGGGCCUGGGGUCGGAGGCGGCGCAGCCAGAAAGGCCCCAGCGGCGCUGAGACGUUUGGGGGAAGGCGGGGGCUUCGCGUUUCGAUGGCGGGAAGCGGAAUGAGGUUGGACCGGCCGGGCCGGCGUUCAGGGACCCGGCGGGAGGCGGAGGGCUGGCGUCCUCGCGGACAUCCAUCUGCAGCGAACCAGGCAGAGGCUUUGGGAUUAGAUCCUUGACUCCUUGCGUCAGUAGUUAAGCUUUGUGAUGGUCUGAGGUCCAUGAAGGGAUUAAAACCAGGAACUGGCUCCUUCUCCAACCACUAAAGCCUCAUCUGGGCCCACAAGCCCUGGCUGUUCCCUGGAGCGUGACUGGAAGAUGUGAGCAGCUUUGUGCUGGAGCCCCAUUUCCAUGGUGCAUGCUGCUGCCAAACCAGAGAUCACUUGUAGACUUGAAAGGGAACAUGAGCUUUGGGUGAAGGAUUCCCAGCCCCCAACAGAGGCCAAAAAGCUACCACCCAGCCAGGCAGAAGGAACAUAAAGUAUGCAUUUUAUGAUACGACUCAGCUUGGAGGGAUGAAGUAGAAGGUCCUCACUGCACCUCAUGGCAGGCUGCUGACGGCAGAUAUUUUACCGGGCUCACUGAACUGGGCAGUCAGGGAAGGGUCGGCUCCUGCUCUGUCCAGCUGUCUUCAUAAGGGACUCUGUGACACUUUUUAUAAAAAUGACUUUGAUUUCUGCAUAAGAAGGCUUCCCAAGCUUGCUGUCUAGCAGUGGCUGCUACAGGGAAUUAUUCACAUGGCAGCAAGAGAGCCCUGGCUCCCUGGACCAGGACAUUCCCUUUGUGUGUGUUGGAAUGAGAGCAGGAGGAGUGCUGGUCAGAAGCCCCUCCCCAGGGCUCUGGGACUUCAGUGUUCUCAGACAAACUGGGCCGCUCCUCUGAGCUGGGAUGCUGACCCACACUUGGCCCCGGCUCUGGCAUCCACAGGACGCUGCCUUAUCCGUCAUCUCGCUGGGGCUGGGGGCUAGAGGCUGAGCAGGUCACACUGAACAAAAGAAGUGUGUCCCCAUCACUAGGCUAACAUCUGAGUUUCUUCCACAGUAUUUGGUAACACAGUCAGAAACAAGACUGAAGAUGAUUCUGGAGGCAACUGGGAACCCCCCAGAACGAUUCUGCAGGCUUCUGGGAAGCUGAAAAACCCCAAGGCCAGACUGGCCUCAGAAUGCCUGAGUCCUUUUGAUUCCACUGGAAAAGCCAUCCAUCUGUGCCAAGUGUGUGGAGAGCUUCAAGAGCCAUAUAGCCCUGGCCACCAUGAGCACAGCCACGUGGGGGAGUAGUCCUGAAAGUGUCCUGGUGUGGCAAAGGCUUUCCACUAAGUGGACCUCAGAUGGCACAGGAAGACCCUCCUGGGGAUGUGGGAGGACACUGCCUAGUGGGUGAGGGGCCGCUCUUUCAGGUGUGCACACUAAAUGCAGAGACAGCCUCUCCUGGCUGCCAAGAAGCCUGUGCAUGAUCCAGGACCACAAAACACUUGCAAACUCACUGCCCAGAGGCCCUGUGCCUGUCUGGAGUGUGCCCAGUGUGUCUGCGCCCCACAGCUUGUCCUGGCCCGCCAGCAGAGCCGCAGCACUGCAGGGCCCUUCUGUUGUGAGUGCCAGGGCCCUUGCUGGCUGCCUGAGCAAGGCAAAAGGUUCAAAACAGGAAGUCUCUGGGCAGCUAUUCCCAGGUGCAGAGGGGAGCAGCGGCCACACAGGUGCCAGUGUGGCAGGAGCUGCAGUCAGAGGCAGCAUCUCAAGAGCCCUGGGAGCAGGGGCCAGCCACGUGAAGCCCACGAGUGUCGCUGGCACAGGGAAGGGACACGAGGAUCACACUGACCCAAGAGAAGGCCCACAGUGAGGAGGCCCCACCGAAGCAUCCCCAGCAACAGGGACUGAGGCAUCUGAGGCAGCCAGCCCACUCGGAAAGGCCUGCUGACUGCACUCCAGAUGUCAAGAGCACCCUUGGGAAAAAGAAAGGCAGGAGUGCAGCACUUUCUAGAGCCUCAGCUCACUUCUCUCCUUCUAGCUCCAGCCGGAGUGAUGGAAGAGGCUGCGCUGGGAGCUGCCUCCCUGGGAGCCUACCCUGCCCAGCCUGAGAGUGGAGGCUACCAGCAUCACGCUUCCCCUAGUGAAAUCCAUCUGUCCUGAAGGGAACCCUGGGACGGGGUCAAGGAAACCCUGUUCACCCCCACCACGGGGUCAGGUCUUCACCAAAGGGAGGCCGCACGGAUUCCCAGUCGCAAACCCAAAGCCUUGCUGCCUUUGCCUCUGUUUCCAUAGUUGUUUCAAUGUCUUUUUUAAAAAUCACAUACACUCGAGUAAGACUGAGUCUCCUCACCGAAGAGAUCUGGCUGUAUCCCGAGUCUCUGAAACCUUUGCUCCAGUCCCGUGGGAGCGUGCCGUCCCGAGGAUGUGGAGCCGCAAGGGCUCGCCAGAGGGAUCUCAGGAGCUAGGCCUCAAGGAGCGCUGUUGAGUGACAGGUCUGAUGCAGUAGCUUUUACUAUUGGUGGAAAUCGAUGUUUUUUCCUUGAAAGUCUACCUUUCUAAGUUCAGUAAACCAAAUUAGAUCAUGUA